GGCCACGGGAGGUGGGUUUCCUGUGCCAGUUUCUUUAGGUGUCUCUUAAGAAUUUCAUACAUCUUUCCCGCUUUCCCUGAGGACUGAGGCCUCCAAGCACAAUCUUCGCAGGGAUGAUCCGC